rnacentral:lncRNA from 1 species
AGUGCUCUGACCACAUGGAGCACAAGACUGUCACCAGUGUAAGGCACAAGCAGGUAAAGUCAAGCUUUGCAGCAGUACAAAAGGAGCUGCCCUCCAUAGAGACUCGUGUCUCAGCUCAGCAGCUCUUGCUGCUUCAGAGGGGCUGUAGGAGCCACUUGGCUCCAAAAGGAGAGACAGCAGAAUUGGGGGGUUAUGAUGCAAGUUGAAGAAUGACUGCUGUGUUUCAGCCGGAGCUUGGCCAGCUCUGUCUGACUCCAGCAACUGAGAGCUUAAGGACAAUGAAUCAGCUUUGCAUCUUGUUUAGUUUCUGUGUUGCAUUUCCUCCUUCAUCAGAGUGACCAAGCUAAGAAGGUUUACCUCCUUUCAUGCUUCACGCAUUCCCUCCUUUCUCUGUCUUCCUCUUAACACGUUCUUUUGUCCUCUAUUUUCUCAAGGUCCACAUCCGGCAGCAGAAGUGAAGAUGAUGACUCUGAAGAAGGAGGGCUGACUAGGUUCAUUUUUUCUGAAUCUUUCCGGCUAUCUCCUUCUAUGCUCCUUCCCUCUGCUCCGUUGCCUCCCAUCCGGAAAACCUCUCAGUCUUCCAACAGAAGAGAAAUGUGCAGCUUUGAGAAGGAGAGUGGGAAAAAUGGCAGUGGCUAUGAGGAAGACACCAGAGAAAGAGAGGAGCUGAGGUCAAAAGGAAAAAGUUGUAAGGCUUCCUUGCUGUAUCCCACUGAAGGGGAUAAGAAGAAGGGGUCACUGGGACUGCCUUUGAUCCCCCCGAUACGCAGGGCAGUAAGUCCCGAUGUUGGCAGUGCUGCAGGGUCUCUGCAAAGCUCUCUGCAGCUGGAUGUGCAAGAGUCCCAGGAGAUGAGGUCCACAUCCGGCAGCAGAAGUGAAGAUGACGACUCUGAAGAAGGAGGUAGGUACAGGACAUGUCUGUCCUCAAAUGACCAUUGGAAUUUUGACACAGAAUUCGUAUUUUGAAUGAUUGAGUAAAAAUAAUUCUCUUCAAAAAUUCUUCAAUUUGAUUUCACUUUUUUAUUGGGCUCAGUGGGCUCCUGAAGAGCCCAAUCACUGGGAGUGUGCUGUGAUGGUGCAGUGAAAAUUCCUCCAGUGUGAAGUGUUGUGUGGCUGAGCUGGAAUGGUACCUUGGGGCCCUGGAAGUGCAGCACAGGAAAAGGAAACAUUCCUCUCCAUCCAGCACUUGCCCUUCAUCUCCCUGCAGCAUUUCCAGUGUCACAGUUAGUAGAGAAUAAGCAGGCAUUUAUCAUGAAAUGGGAAAUGUUCCCAGUCCUUCGUCCUGCCCUUAAAGGAGAAAA